CCUGUAUUUGCCUAUAUUUGGUUGCUGCCUCACCUUGCUGAGGAUGUUUUAGCCAACCUUGACAAUUAUGCAUCCGUGAGCAAAGGUGCACACUGUGUUCUUUCUAGACUAGGAUCUUAUGAGUGAUGCCAACCGAGUUAAACAUUUGAUGCAGAGACACAAGGCAAAUUUACUAAUGCUUCUGCUGGAUGACAACUAAUUACAAACUGAAAUACCAGAAACAUACUGUGAAUCGUGCUGGUGAAAGUUUUGUGAAAGAGGACAUGGUCUCCUGAAGAAAUACAGGAAAGGUUAGUUUACAUAAUGUAAUU